GAGAUGGGAAAACGAUGAGGCUUUGUUUGGUAGAAGUGGAAUGGGGAGGUUUGGGGAGGGCUGGUGGUGGCUGUAGGUAGGUGACGUAUCCUUUCCGCAUCCUCAUGGCCAGCACCGUUAUAUUCCUAGAUAGAAACAAUACAUCCAGAUCCAAUAUUCUUCUUCUAAUUAUUAUUACAUCUGAAAAAAGCAUACCCCUAGAUAGAUAAAUGGAUGGAUGAAUUUGUGUGUCAUCUUUGAUUUUCUAAGUUGACUGACAUGAAUUCAGAAUUGAAGAGGAGGCCCGGGUAGAAUUAAUGUCAGAUGAGCCAAACUGAAUGUGCUUAUUUCCGAAUAAUGUUCAGUCAGAAAAAACUUGAACCAAAACUGAAUAACCUACGGUCAUAAGGAAAUUCUUUGUUUGGAAACUGAUUGUCUAUCUAGAAUGUUGCAGUUGUGGCACUACAUGAUCUUACUAAUGCUGUCUUUUCUACUCAAUGUGGCUGUAUUUUCUUGGUGGUAUCACGCAGAUUGGUUCUUAUUUAUGUCGUCUAUUUUUUUAUCUAGCUAGCUAGCUAACUUGCUCCAUUUCCAUUGAACUGAAUCUAUGUAAUAGACCUUGCUAACUUGUUCUCCCUCCAUACAUAAAAAAAAAACUUGUUCUCCCUCCAUGGACCUUGCAGCCUCUUCCACAUUCCACCACCAUCAGCCUCCUUAACCCCAACCGAAGAGCUGGCCUUUUCCCCAGUAAGAUGUAACUUUUGUUCAGAGUAAUGAUUUCAGUUCAGUCUGCAUAGUUCAGCUUCAUAGAGAAGAUAAUGAUUUCUGUUUUUUAGCCUACUGCAAUUGUUUAGAGUAAUGUGUGGACAAAAUUCAGGUUUUGUCCCACAUCACAUUGCAUUGUUUGGAGGUUUUGUACAUCAGCUUCCUUUUUGAUCUUCUUAUUUAAACUUGUUGCAGUACCUGUGACACAUGACGCCUAACUGCUUAACUAAUUUUCUGCUAAUUCAGCUCACACGGCGCUGUGGUACGCGGAUGUCGCUGCAGAGUAGAGAGAUACCCCUAGAAGUCGCCUUCCUGUCCACCUCUUCAGAAGUGCCACCGCCUUGGACACGACGACAUUAGAACCCAAUUCCUAUCAUAGAGAUAUGGGGUCAGGAAAACCCAACAGUUCAUUUAUUCCUGCUAGUUAAACUUGGGCUGUUAUAGAGAUAUGCAGGCCCAUCUAAUUACAUGUUACUCUCAAACUGUUUGAGCAAUAUGCAGUGAUGUUAGUCUGUAAUGCAUUGACAAUGGCCGCUACUUCAGGCGUUGCUAGCUGCAUUUCUCUACUGCCCUGUUGUUUUGUAGGUGACGCCCUUAGUUUUGCUACUUUGCAUAUUCUGGGAGCAAUUACAGUGAGGUUAUAUGUGAUUUUUGUUCACUUAAUAUCUACACUGCUCUUCCUUGCAUAAUUUGAUGUCGUUUUACUUGGAAAGAUUGCAUUUUUAUUUGUUUGCACUAUCUUAUCUAAAUAUGUCAAUUCCUGUCAGGG
rnacentral:lncRNA from 1 species